rnacentral:lncRNA from 1 species
AGGAGGUGCCCCCCUGCCCACUGGCCCCAGUAGGCAAACCAGCACCUGGCUCUUCCUGCACAGAACCAAAGUUCAAGCCCAAAUGGGUCAAUGGUUGUGGGGAAACAGGUGAGCACCCCCCCAGGAGCAGCUGCCUGUCUGUUGCUGUGUCUGUGUGUCUGUUCCUAACCCUUUCUUUUUUUUUUUUUUUUGAGACAAAGUCUUGCUCUGUUCCCCAGGCUGGAGUGCAGUGGUGUGAUCUGGGCUCACCUCCCUGGUUCAGGCUGGUCUCGAAUUCCUGACCUCAAGUGAUCCACCUGCCUCGGCCUCCCAAAGUGUGGGGAUUACAGGUGUGAGCCACCACGCCCAGCUAAUUUUUUGUAUUUUUAGUAGAGACAGGGUUUCACCAUGUGGGCCAGGCUGGUCUUGAACUCCCAACCUCAAGUGAUCCACCCACCUUGUUCUCCCAAAGUGCUGAGAUUACAGGUGUGAGCCACCAUGCCCAGCCUGUUCCUAACCCUUUCAACUGGGGGGUCUCAAGUGGGUGAGGACUCCGUGGCCACAGCAGCAGAACUGUCUCUUCUGAAAACCAGACUCUGGGGCCCCUGGGUCAGCACCUCUAGGUCAUUCCACAGACUUACACAGUUUAAAGAAAGAGCCAGCGAACAUGGGGUGAUCCUGGGGUGCCAUUGGGAUCCCAAGCCAGGCCCGGAGUUCUGCCUGUUUCGUCCCCAGAAACUUGAGCUGGGAUCCUCCGCUGGUUUGCACUGGGCACGGGGACUGGAGAGCCACGAGACCACUGAGCGCAGCAUGCUGUCACUUCUCAGGAAGUUGUGAGGGUGAGGAGAAUAGCCGGGCCCACUCUGCAGAGAAGAGGAACAGGCACAGGCUAGAGGCACGGGCUGAUAGAGUGAGUCCUCUCCCUCAUUCAUUCAUUCAUUCAUUCAUCCAUCAGACACCUUCUGGGCAUCUGCUGUGUGCGAGACACUGUGCUGGGUGCCCCAGACACAAGACAGAAACUCGGGUCGCCCUGUGUGCCUCCACACUGGCCUUCCCUGCUGCGUGGACGCAGGCUCUGUCUCCUAGGCUUUAAGCCCCAUGCAUCAGGUGGAAGACAAUUUCCAGCGGCCUCUGCCCGCUUGUUUUUCCUCCUCUCCUUUUCCUGCCGCCUUGGUCUUUUUUGUCUUUUGUGCACGGCCGUCUCUCGCAGCGCCCGUCUGUGCUCCGCAGCGUCUAGGAAAGGAUUAGUGUGAGCAGAGCAUGCAGGCUUUGGUGAACAGAGCCGAGCUUGGUUUCAACAUCUAAUUCAAUUUGUUCUGCCGAGAUUGAAAUAUGAAAUGGUUGCCAGUCAAACGUUCAAAGGACGGGGAAGG